CAACCUGGCGGCAUGCCUAUCAUGCAAGUCGAACGCUUUGAUUUCACCGGGUGCUUGCACCCACCGAAGUCAAAGAGUGGCGGACGGGUGAGUAACACGUGGGUAACCUGCCCAUAAGAGGGGGAUAACAUUCGGAAACGGAUGCUAAUACCGCAUACUUCUAAUCGCCUCCUGGCGAAUGGAAAAAAGGUGGCUUAGGCUACCGCUUAUGGAUGGACCCGCGGCGUAUUAGCUAGUUGGUGAGGUAAUGGCUCACCAAGGCGAUGAUACGUAGCCGACCUGAGAGGGUGAUCGGCCACACUGGGACUGAGACACGGCCCAGACUCCUACGGGAGGCAGCAGUAGGGAAUCUUCCGCAAUGGACGAAAGUCUGACGGAGCAAUGCCGCGUGAGUGAAGAAGGUUUUCGGAUCGUAAAACUCUGUUGUUAGAGAAGAACAAGGAUGAGAGUAACUGCUCAUCCCCUGACGGUAUCUAACCAGAAAGCCACGGCUAACUACGUGCCAGCAGCCGCGGUAAU
rnacentral:rRNA from 1 species